rnacentral:lncRNA from 1 species
AUAUAUAUAUAUAUAUAUAUAUUUUGUAUGAAUAAAAUUAUUAUCAUUAUAUAUAUAUAUAGUACAAUCUGCAGACAUGCAUGUAUUUACAAAAGUAUUAUUACAUUAGUAUUUACAAAAUAAUGGUUUAAUAUUACAAUAAAAACGGUUACUUAGUUUGAAAGAACAAAUGAAUAGAAAGAAAGGAAAACAAAAAGAAAGUUAAGUUAAGUUGCUUCAAUUCCUUGAACUUAACAGCAUAAUGAUCAACAUAAAAGAAAAUAACAAUGGGCUUUUUCAUGUCCGAGUAGUAAUUACAUAAAUACAAGAGAGAACUACUGCUAUAUCGGUUCAAUCCUUCUUGACACUCCGCCCUCGUAAUCAUAAACAACCAGAAACAAAGGGAGUUGUCGUGUAAUAAGUAGCUUUAUCUCCACUUCAACUUUCAAUUGAUCCUUAUACAGUAAACAAUAAAUAUAUGCAGGUCCAUUAGCAUUACCACAGGAAUUGUGAAACAUGAAACGCAUGUCGACGCCCGCAAGGCCAAGGUACAGAGAAUUUGAUAGGUACCCGACGUAUUAAGUAGUUCAGUGACAGUUUGAUGCUUACGGCGAGAAGAACUUCGUGUUAGAUAACAUUUUCUGCGUGCUUGGUGAAGUCGAGUUUACAUUAGUGUAUUGACGGCGAG